rnacentral:rRNA from 1 species
GACGAACGCUGGCGGCGUGGAUUAGGCAUGCAAGUCGAACGGUAUCAUCCUUUCGGGGGUGAGAGAGUGGCGAACUGGUGAGUAACACGUAGGUUAUCUACCCUCAAGACGGGGACAACCCAGGGAAACUUGGGCUAAUACCGGAUGUGAGCAACUUUUAGUUGUUUGAAAGGUGGCGUAAGCUGUCGCUUGGGGAUGAGCCUGCGUCCUAUUAGUUAGUUGGUGAGGUAACGGCUCACCUAGGCAAUGAUAGGUAGGCGGCCUUAACGGGUGGUCGCCCACACUGGGAUUGAGAUACGGCCCAGACUCCUACGGGAGGCAGCAGUCGAGAAUAGUCUACAAUGGUCGGAAGACUGAUAGUGCGACGCCGCGUGAACGAUGAAUCCCUUCGGGGUGUAAAGUUCUUUUAUAUGUGAGCAGUGCUUCUUAUAUUAACAGUAUGGGGAAGAGAUAUUAGCAUAUGAAUAAGCAACGGCUAAACUCCGUGCCCAGCAGCCGCGGU